rnacentral:rRNA from 1 species
CCUACGGGUGGCAGCAGUCGAGAAUCAUUCACAAUGGGGGAAACCCUGAUGGUGCGACGCCGCGUGGGGGAAUGAAGGUCUUCGGAUUGUAAACCCCUGUCAUGUGGGAGCAAAUUAAAAAGAUAGUACCACAAGAGGAAGAGACGGCUAACUCUGUGCCAGCAGCCGCGGUAAUACAGAGGUCUCAAGCGUUGUUCGGAAUCACUGGGCGUAAAGCGUGCGUAGGCUGUUUCGUAAGUCGUGUGUGAAAGGCGCGGGCUCACCCCGCGGACGGCACAUGAUACUGCGAGACUAGAGUAAGGGAGGGGGAACCGGAAUUCGCGGUGUAGCAGUGAAAUGCGUAGAUAGCGAGAGGAACGCUCGUGGCGAAGGCGGGUUCCUGGACAUUAACUGACGCUGAGGCACGAAGGCCAGGGGAGCGAAAGGGAUUAGAUACCCUAGUAGUC